UACGAAGGGGGCUAGCGUUGCUCGGAAUCACUGGGCGUAAAGCGCACGUAGGCGGAUUCCUAAGUCGGUGGUGAAAUCCUGGAGCUCAACUCCAGAACUGCCUCCGAUACUGCGGGUCUCGAGUCCGGGAGAGGUGAGUGGAAUUCCUAGUGUAGAGGUGAAAUUCGUAGAUAUUAGGAAGAACACCAGUGGCGAAGGCGGCUCACUGGCCCGGUACUGACGCUGAGGCGCGAAAGCGUGGGGAGCAAACAGG
rnacentral:rRNA from 1 species